rnacentral:rRNA from 1 species
CACUUCUAAGGAAGGCAGCAGGCGCGCAAAUUACCCAAUCCUGACUCAGGGAGGUAGUGACAAGAAAUAACAAUAAACCGGCUUAUGCCGGUUUAAUUGGAAUGAGUACAAUUUAAACAUCUUAACGAGGAACAAUUGGAGGGCAAGUCUGGUGCCAGCAGCCGCGGUAAUUCCAGCUCCAAUAGCGUAUACUAAAGUUGUUGCAGUUAAAAAGCUCGUAGUUGGAUUUCUGUGGGGACGGAGCGGCCGGCCGCAACACGCGGUUCGAGCUAGCGCUUUCCCUACAUCCUGCCGCGAACCGUGCUACCAUUAAUUUGGUGGCGCCGGGGAUCGGCUCGAUUACUUUGAGAAAAAUAGAGUGUUCAAAGCAGGCCACAUGCCUUGAAUAAGUUAGCAUGGAAUAAUAACUAAGGACUUCGGUUCUAUUUUGUUGGUGUUCGGGACUGAAGUAAUGAUUGAUAGGGACAGUUGGGGCGGUCUGUAUUCCAAAGCGAGAGGUGAAAUUCUUAGACCUUCGGAAGACAAACAGCUGCGAAAGCGUUCCGCAAGGAUGUUCCCUUUGAUCAAGAACGAAAGUUGGGGGAUCGAAGACGAUCAGAUACCGUCGUAGUCUCAACUAUAAACUAUACCAGCUAGGGAUCGGCCAACGUUUCUUUAUACCGACUUGGUCGGCACCUUAUGAGAAAUCAAAGCAUCUGGGUUCCGGGGGGAGUAUGGUCGCAAGGCUGAAACUUAAAGGAAUUGACGGAAGGGCACCACCAGCCGUGGAGCCUGUGGCUUAAUUUGACUCAACACGGGAAAACUUACCAGGUCCAGACAUAGUAAGGAUUGACAGAUUGAUAGCUCUUUCUUGAUUCUGUGGGUGGUGGUGCAUGGCCGUUCUUAGUUGGUGGAGUGAUUUGUCUGGUUAAUUCCGUUAACGAACGAGACCCCAGCCUGCUAAAUAGCGCGUGUGAGCUUUGCUCGCAGCGAGCUUCUUAGAGGGACUAUGAUGCGCGAUAGCACAUGGAAGUUUGGGGCAAUAACAGGUCUGUGAUGCCCUUAGAUGUUCUGGGCCGCACACGGGCUACACUGGCGCCUGCAACGAGCAUAUCAGCUGGCCCGAGAGGGUCUUGGCUAAUCUUUUGAACCGGCGCCGUGCUUGGGAUUGACCUUUGCAAUUGUUGGUCAUGCAACGAGGAAUGCCUUGUAAACGCGAGUCAUCAGCUCGCAUUGAAUACGUCCCUGCCCUUUGUACACACCGCCCGUCGCUCCUACCGAUGAAUGUUCCGAUGAAAUUUUCGGAGAGCACCUGUGAACUUGGCUCUGCCUUGCGAACGGGAGGCUCAAAGUCACUUAAAUCUGAACAUUU